GGUUAAGCGACUAAGCGUACACGGUGGAUGCCCUGGCAGUCAGAGGCGAUGAAGGGCGUGCUAAUCUGCGAUAAGCGACGGUAAGCCGAUAUGAGGCGCUAUACCCGUCGAUACCCGAAUGGGGAAACCCAAUGCACUACGGUGCAUUAUCGUUAAGUGAAUACAUAGCUUAACGAGGCGAACCUGGGGAACUGAAACAUCUAAGUACCCAGAGGAAAAGAAAUCAACCGAGAUUCCCCCAGUAGCGGCGAGCGAACGGGGAACAGCCCAGAACCUGAAUCAGUUUGUGCAUUAGUGGAAGCGUCUGGAAAGUCGCAGGGUACAGGGUGAUACUCCCGUACACAAAAAUGCACUUGCUGUGAGUUCGAUGAGUAGGGCGGGACACGUGACAUCCUGUCUGAAUAUGGGGGGACCAUCCUCCAAGGCUAAAUACUCCUGACUGACCGAUAGUGAACCAGUACCGUGAGGGAAAGGCGAAAAGAACCCCGGCGAGGGGAGUGAAACAGAACCUGAAACCGUGUACGUACAAGCAGUGGAAGCCUCUUAAAUGUGGGGUGACUGCGUACCUUUUGUAUAAUGGGUCAGCGACUUAUAUUCUGUAGCAAGGUUAACCGUAUAGGGGAGCCGCAGGGAAACCGAGUCUUAACUGGGCGUUAAGUUGCAGGGUAUAGACCCGAAACCCGGUGAUCUAGCCAUGGGCAGGUUGAAGGUUGGGUAACACUAACUGGAGGACCGAACCGACUAAUGUUGAAAAAUUAGCGGAUGACUUGUGGCUGGGGGUGAAAGGCCAAUCAAACCGGGAGAUAGCUGGUUCUCCCCGAAAGCUAUUUAGGUAGCGCCUCGUGAAUUCAUCUCCGGGGGUAGAGCACUGUUUCGGCUAGGGGGCCAUCCCGGCUUACCAACCCGAUGCAAACUGCGAAUACCGGAGAAUGUUAUCACGGGAGACACACGGCGGGUGCUAACGUCCGUCGUGAAGAGGGAAACAACCCAGACCGCCAGCUAAGGUCCCAAAGUCAUGGUUAAGUGGGAAACGAUGUGGGAAGGCACAGACAGCCAGGAUGUUGGCUUAGAAGCAGCCAUCAUUUAAAGAAAGCGUAAUAGCUCACUGGUCGAGUCGGCCUGCGCGGAAGAUGUAACGGGGCUAAACCAUGCACCGAAGCUGCGGCAGCG
rnacentral:rRNA from 1 species